UGGCUCUGUAGCCUUCGCUUCAAUGCCAAGAAAAGUUGUCGGCGAGUAUAGUUCUGUUCAUGGGGUAUGUUUCAUAGAAAGACUUGCAAAGCAAAGUAGUGACAACUGCUAGAGAUAAGUAGCAUUAUUCGUGGAUUCACAAAAUUAUCUGUGCACUGGAAUGGCGGAAUCCAUAUAAAUUUAACACGAAUAUCAGGCUGCUGAUAAUUGCCUCUAAGUUGAAAUUUUGUUGUUAUAAAUUAAGUGUUAUAUCCAUGCGUCUUGAUUUGUGCACUUUCAACAUAAUGCACUUCACACCAGAAGGAAUGGUUGUGCAAGCCGUGCACUCGUCUGUCUUCGAGUUACAUGCGUGGCUUUGAAAGAGAGCCAGAGUUCCUCAAAGGUCUACUGUCUCGUAAUUGAGUAUAGUGCGUUAAAGCCGGCUUUCAUUUGCACAGCGGUCUCAUUGACAUGAAGUUUCAUUCAUUGACAUUUCAUGACCUCAACAUGACAUGGAUAAUGUGGUGAGAUAUGUAUGACAUGCAUGCAGGACAUGAAGGUGAUGCACAGUUCACAGAGAUGCAAAAAACAGCUUUUGGACUGUUGCACCACACCAUGUUUCCACACCCAACGAGGCUACACCUCCUGCUCCCAACAGAGAAUGCUAAACAACACCACACCUGUGAAAAGCCAGGAAUAUGCUUGAACAUUGUCAUAGA
rnacentral:lncRNA from 1 species